GAUGAACGCUAGCGGCAGGCUUAAUACAUGCAAGUCGAGGGGCAGCAUGAGUGUAGCAAUACAUUUGAUGGCGACCGGCAAACGGGUGCGGAACACGUACACAACCUUCCUAUAAGUGGGGAAUAGCCCAGAGAAAUUUGGAUUAAUACCCCGUAACAUAAUGAUGUGGCAUCACAUUAUUAUUAUAGCUUCGGCGCUUAUUGAUGGGUGUGCGGCUGAUUAGAUAGUUGGCGGGGUAACGGCCCACCAAGUCUACGAUCAGUAGCUGAUGUGAGAGCAUGAUCAGCCACACGGGCACUGAGACACGGGCCCGACUCCUACGGGAGGCAGCAGUAAGGAAUAUUGGUCAAUGGACGCAAGUCUGAACCAGCCAUGCCGCGUGAAGGAUUAAGGUCCUCUGGAUUGUAAACUUCUUUUAUCUGGGACGAAAAAAGGCGAUUCUUCGUCACUUGACGGUACCAGAUGAAUAAGCACCGGCUAACUCCGUGCCAGCCGCCGCAGUAACAC
rnacentral:rRNA from 1 species